rnacentral:rRNA from 1 species
GAUGAACGCUGGCGGCGUGCCUAAUACAUGCAAGUCGAGCGAACAGACGAGGAGCUUGCUCCUCUGACGUUAGCGGCGGACGGGUAAGUAACACGUGGAUAACCUACCUAUAAGACUGGGAUAACUUCGGGAAACCGGAGCUAAUACCGGAUAAUAUAUUGAACCGCAUGGUUCAAUAGUGAAAGACGGUUUUGCUGUCACUUAUAGAUGGAUCCGCGCCGCAUUAGCUAGUUGGUAAGGUAACGGCUUACCAAGGCAACGAUGCGUAGCCGACCUGAGAGGGUGAUCGGCCACACUGGAACUGAGACACGGUCCAGACUCCUACGGGAGGCAGCAGUAGGGAAUCUUCCGCAAUGGGCGAAAGCCUGACGGAGCAACGCCGCGUGAGUGAUGAAGGUCUUCGGAUCAUAAAACUCUGUUAUUAGGGAAGAACAAAUGUGUAAGUAACUAUGCACGUCUUGACGGUACCUAAUCAGAAAGCCACGGCUAACUACGUG